AACGAACGCUGGCGGCAUGCCUAACACAUGCAAGUCGAACGAGACCUUCGGGUCUAGUGGCGCACGGGUGCGUAACGCGUGGGAACCUGCCCUUAGGUUCGGAAUAACUCCCCGAAAGGGGUGCUAAUACCGGAUAAUGUCUUCGGACCAAAGAUUUAUCGCCUUUGGAUGGGCCCGCGUUGGAUUAGCUAGUUGGUAGGGUAAAAGCCUACCAAGGCGACGAACCAUAGCUGGUCUGAGAGGAUGAUCAGCCACACUGGGACUGAGACACGGCCCAGACUCCUACGGGAGGCAGCAGUGGGGAAUAUUGGACAAUGGGCGAAAGCCUGAUCCAGCAAUGCCGCGUGAGUGAUGAAGGCCUUAGGGUUGUAAAGCUCUUUUACCCGGGAUGAUAAUGACAGUACCGGGAGAAUAAGCUCCGGCUAACUCCGU
rnacentral:rRNA from 1 species